UCCUGGUUAACCCAGGCAGUCUCAUUAGAGUCCCCAGCAUUACCUGUUGGCAACUAAUGAUAAGGGUUGCGCUCGUUGCGGGACUUAACCCAACACCUCACGGCACGAGCUGACGACAGCCAUGCAGCACCUGUGCAGAGACUCCGAAGAGAGGCACCAUCUCUGGUGCGGUCCUCUGCAUGUCAAGCCUAGGUAAGGUUCUUCGCGUUGCAUCGAAUUAAACCACAUGCUCCACUGCUUGUGCGGGUCCCCGUCAAUUCUUUUGAGUUUCACCCUUGCGAGCGUACUCCCCAGGCGGUAUACUUAUCGCGUUAGCUUCGGCACAACUAGGGUUGAGUCCAGUUACACCAAGUAUACAUCGUUUACGGCAAGGACUAC
rnacentral:misc_RNA from 1 species